rnacentral:rRNA from 1 species
GCAAGUCGAGGGGCAGCAAAAUACUUCGGUAUUGUUGGCGACCGGCGAAUGGGUGCGUAACGCGUAUGCAACCUGCCUUAUACAGGGGUAUAGCUCUCGGAAACGAGAAUUAAUUCCCCAUAUUAUCCAUUUAUCGCAUGAUAUUUGGAUGAAAGUUUUUCGGUAUAAGAUGGGCAUGCGUCCUAUUAGCUUGUUGAUGAGGUAAUGGCUUACCAAGGCUACGAUAGGUAGGGGGUCUGAGAGGAUGUCC